rnacentral:rRNA from 1 species
AUGUGGACCUGUCUUCGUCAGCGCUAUGAGCCCUCUGGUGAUGCCUUAUACCUUUCUGUGGUUCGUCAGGAGCAUGCUCUUCCGUAGGGUGACUCUACUGUUGAUGACUUCUAUGCACAGAGUUCUGCUAUCUGGCGCCAGCUUGAUUCUCUCCGCAGUGCUGGUUGUCGUACUUGCCCCUGUUGCCAGGCUGUCCAGGCCAAUUUGGAGUUUCAUCGCGUCUACGAGUUCCUGUCUCGGCUCCGUAACGAGUUUGAGCCCCGGCGUGCUCAGUUGUUUGCUCGUGGCCGUAUUUCUCUCAUGGAGGCGCUUUUAGAGAUUCGUGCUGAGGAGACUCGCUUACGUGGUGCUGGUUUGCUGGAGGUUCCCUCUGUGCUCGCUACUCGGACUUCUUCCACUCCACCUGCUGCACCGACCCCUUCUCGCUCGAGUGCUCCACCGCUCUUGCCCACUCCUUCUGGAGGAUCAGGUCGCCCCCGUCCACAUUGUGACUACUGCAACAAUGAUGGUCAUAUUGAGUCCCAGUGCUACACAAAGCGGAAACACCUGCGCAAGGCGCGAUCAUCAUCCUCAGGGACUUCGUCA